GGAUGUAUCUUUCUGGCUGCGACAUCUGUCACCCCAUUGGUCGCCAGGGUUGAUCCGGCUGAUCUGGCUGGCUAGGCGGGUGUCCCCUUCCUCCCUCACCGCUCCAUGUGCGUCCCUCCCGAAGCUGCGCCCUCAGUCGAAGAGGACGGCCUUCCCCAAUAGAGACAGACUGGUCUUCGGUCGAGGGUAUACGAGUAGCUGCGCUCCCCUGCUAGAACCUCCAAACAAGCUCUCAAUCUCUGAAUUCUAAUCAUUGUUGUAGUAUUCCUUAGGCAUGUCACUCUAAUAGCCUAAAAGACUUUUUUUUUUUCUUUUU
rfam:Erinaceus europaeus unplaced genomic scaffold scaffold00191, whole genome shotgun sequence